UUCAUCUUUGAUCCAUUUUAGAAAUUUAUUAGACACGACAACAACGCCUAUCAACAUACUUCCUUCAUUGUGAUGUACUCCUAAGUUUUAAUCCACGAUUUGGUUAAUCAACUCUACUUCCUUCAACAUCAUUGCAGAUACAUGAAGUGUCUUUCGACUCAAGGCGUCUGCUACAACAUUGGCCUUUUCUGGAUGAUACUGUAACUCAAAAUCAUAGUCCAUCAAAAA
rnacentral:lncRNA from 1 species